rnacentral:rRNA from 1 species
UACAGAGGGGGCAAGCGUUAUUCGGAAUUAUUGGGCGUAAAGGGCGCGUAGGCGGCAUGGCAAGUGGAAGGUGAAAUCCCUCGGCUUAACCGAGGAACUGCCCUCCAAACUACUUUGCUUGAGGCCGGGAGAGGUGAGUGGAAUUCCCAGUGUAGCGGUGAAAUGCGUAGAGAUGCGGAGGAACACCGAUGGCGAAGGCAGCCCCCUGGGUCGACACUGACGCUCAGGCACGAAAGCGUGGGGAGCAAACAGG